rnacentral:rRNA from 1 species
GAUGAACGCUGGCGGCGUGCCUAAUACAUGCAAGUCGAGCGAACAGACGAGGAGCUUGCUCCUCUGACGUUAGCGGCGGACGGGUGAGUAACACGUGGAUAACCUACCUAUAAGACUGGGAUAACUUCGGGAAACCGGAGCUAAUACCGGAUAAUAUAUUGAACCGCAUGGUUCAAUAGUGAAAGACGGUUUUGCUGUCACUUAUAGAUGGAUCCGCGCCGCAUUAGCUAGUUGGUAAGGUAACGGCUUACCAAGGCAACGAUGCGUAGCCGACCUGAGAGGGUUAUCGGCCACACUGGAACUGAGACACGGUCCAGACUCCUACGGGAGGCAGCAGUAGGGAAUCUUCCGCAAUGGGCGAAAGCCUGACGGAGCAACGCCGCGUGGGUGAUGAAGGUCUUCGGAUCGUAAAACUCUGUUAUUAGGGAAGAACAAAUGUGUAAGUAACUAUGCACGUCUUGACGGUACCUAAUCAGAAAGCCACGGCUAACGACGUGC